AGGUGACCAUUGGAGAUGGUCUAA
rnacentral:snRNA from 1 species